rnacentral:lncRNA from 1 species
AUGACCAGCUUUUUGUUUCAUGGCUACAACCAGGUCCCCUUAACUCCACUUUUAAAUUCUCCAGUUAAAGAGCUGGUGCUCCCAUCAAGGCUGGGGUUUUACCUACACAGUUGCAGCCCAGGAUUGAAGAGGAGGAAGAACUGCCUUUCUUACCACCAGGACGCAUGCAUAGAGGAGGAGCCACGUGGGGUCAAAUGGUGAGUGAAGAAAAAGAUUUUUCGUAUGUCAUCAUCUGGCAAUAGACAUCGAAGGCCACAAGCCCUGUUAAUCUUUACAAAGCUCAAGGUGUUGCUGAUAGUAAAACAAAGUCUUCGAGUUACCCCUGACCAGGUAACAUUAGGACAUCGGUGUGUGGGAAUUCGGUGACUUUUUAUGGCCUCCACCAGAGGGGGUGUGGGCCCUGGGAACCUAAGUCAUCAUCAUCGUGGCCUUCGCUGGCUUGUUUGCUUAUUCGCUGAAGUAUAGGCCACUUAAGAGUAUUAUAUUACUUUCAGAUGUACAACAUAAGGAGUUGAUAUUUUUGUGAACUUGUUUUGCUUUUUACAGCGGCACCUGUGGCAUAUGCAAGUUCCCAGGCAAAUCAGAGCUGUAGCCUCUGGCCUACACCACAGCCACAGCAACACCGGAUCAUUAACCCACUGAGUGAGGCCAGGGAUCGAACCCACAUCCUCAUGGAUGGACACCGUGUCCCGUUCUCAACCCAAUAAGCCACAAUGGGAACACCUCAAUAUCUUAAUAAAAUAGAGGAUAAAAGUUGUUAAAAGAAGAACUAGGAAUUACCCAGACAUCAAUAUCAUGGAGCACUGCUUUUUUCUGACCUCCCACAGUAUAGAUAAGAAAUACUUGGCAAAAUGUAAUUUGCAUUUUUAGAAAUGUAGCAAUGUUGAAGCAUAAACAUACAGCUAAUGUCAGUGUCCUAGGCUUGGGGUCUUUUGCUUGAUGUUGUCCAUUAAACAGCACCUGGAUGCUCUCUUUUCCACCAGCCACUCUCCCCGGAAAGCGUUCAAAAUGCCCCACGAAGGCUCUCAACCCUCUCCAUAGGGUAGUUUCUGUUUUCAUGCACUGCUGUAACGUGACUUUGUAACCCUCAUCCCUUCGGGGGUGUGUGUGUGUGUGUGUGUGUGUGUGUGUGUUUAACCACUGGAGCCCCUCCUGUUUUCUGUGGCUAAAUGCUGAUCGCUUGGAUUUCCAUUCCUGAUUCUUUUCCGGCUUCGGUCACCAGGUCUCACCAUAGUGAGUUCUAGUUUGAUCUUGACCUUUUCCUCUUCCCAAACUGUGCAGGCACUGAGUGGCCCUGUGGCAAGUGGGACUGGAG